rnacentral:lncRNA from 1 species
AGGUGAAGAAGGCAUUGAAGAAACAACACUCUCAAGGUCUGUGUCACCCUGACCCCGUUCAGAUCCUGCGUACUCCAACAUCAGUUGUUUGGCCCUCUCCUGUGAUUUGGGGCUCAGUGUCCUGUUAAGAUCACGUGCAGAGACCUUCCCUGAUGGAGUCUGAUAAUUGCGGAGCUCGAAUCUCAGACAGGCAUUGACCCAGCGCAGGUAUACCAACUCCUCUACUUCACUGAACCUGUUCAUCUGUAGGCCUUCCACUUGCUUUGUGAGGUCCUCAUUUGUAUGCCUCAGCUUGUUUAUCUCUUCUCUUGCAUUGGCAACUACAUCACUCUGCAUGAUAUACAGUAGGGUGUGUCAUUAGCACAUGUUCCAGCUUCUCAAAGUAUAUCAAACUAUAUGAAUACUUUGCAGAAAUCUCUAGGUGCAUUCUUGCCUCUCAGGCUAGUUUGGAAACUUAAAUCCCCUCCGGGAUUCCCGGAAAUUGAGCGGGAAAUUAGCUCAUUUUCCCAUUUUCCCAUCAAUCCCCGGGAAUCCCGGAGGGAAUUUAAGUUUCCAAACUAACCCUUAGAGAACCUUAAAUUCUGACAUAGUUGUUAAAUGUAAUGCUACCUCUGAAAUCAUGCUUUAGUAAGUACUUUAGGUAACUGCAUUUUCAUUGUACUGGUCUGAAAAUAUGUUAAUUCUAUGCUGUGUAAUAUCUUGCAUAAUGAUAAUCAUGUAUAAGACGAAAUUUCAAUUUUGCAGUCAUCUUGAUGAGAUUUGUUUUCUGUUUAUGAGAAGGGCAACUUGUAGAGACUCAUAAUACUAAGAUACCUCAGUUAUUUUCCCUUCAGCUGCAUCCAACUUCACAAUGAGAUCUCUCUUCUCAUACAACAACUCCUUGUUCUUCCUCCUUAGCUCAAGUACCUCCACUUCCAACUCCCUGAGCUUCUUCAGCUUCCGUUGAACCUCAGCUUCCUUUUUCCCCGCCUCUUCCUCCUUGGCCUUCAAUCCGAUGACCUGUUGUUUCAGCAACAUCAGCUGACCCUUUGUCUGGCCUGCUUCUAGCUGUAUCUGCCGCUGCAGCUCCUUGAUCUUGCCUCUAGCCGCUUCAAGCUCUUUAUUGGCAACCUCUCCACAUGCAACGUCAUCUUGCAGCUUCUUCCGCUCCGCCUGCAGUGAGUUUAUGGUGUCGUUGAGCAUGUUGAUCUCCGCUGUCUUGAUCUUGAGCUGCUUUUGCAGUUCGGCGAUGUCAGUCUCCAUUUCCUUCAUUCCAUAGUACUCUAGCAGCUCGCCCUCAAGCUUCGCCUCUCUCUCUUCCAUUUCCCUCACCAGGCUGCGCAGCUUCUCUAUCUCAGAGGCCUCGUUAGCCAUGUAAGCGUUGUUGUACCGUGACCGUCCAUUAACGUCGAAGCGAUCGCUUGGUAUAGGGAUGUCAAUGUCUCCUGAUAGGAGGCUUUCGAUCUCGGAAAGCAUAUCAUCGUCGUCAUCGCCUAGCGAGCGGGCUGAGUUGAUUAUGCCGCUGAUUGUUUUAACCUCUUCCUUCUCUUCUUCUUUCUCCCCCUGUAACAGCAGUUGGAGAGGUAAGUAUGACAUAGGCCACUAAUACAACACAAUUUUCUUUUAGCAAACUUUGAACUGACAUAAGAUGUACAUACAUGUUCAGAAUUGUUAGCCUUAUCCUUCCUUUUCCUUGCUUGGACAUAGUCUGAAAACAGGGACCCUUGAAUGAAGAAUUCAAAUGAAGAGAAGAAACCUAAGGAAAGGAGAGCAGAACAAGAUUGGUACCUUUGCUGUGCCUGGCCCCACUGUUAGCUCUCUGAAGAGUUAAAGCUGCGACGGAGGCUACAACGACAAAGCCUAAUCUCACAAGCAUGACUC